AGAGUUUGAUCCUGGCUCAGGACGAACGCUGGCGGCGCGCCUAACACAUGCAAGUCGAACGAGAGAGAAGGAGCUUGCUUCUUCGAUCGAGUGGCGAACGGGUGAGUAACGCGUGAGGAACCUGCCUCAAAGAGGGGGACAACAGUUGGAAACGACUGCUAAUACCGCAUAAGCCCACGGGUCGGCAUCGACCUGAGGGAAAAGGAGCAAUCCGCUUUGAGAUAACGCCUCGCGUCCGUAUUA
rnacentral:rRNA from 1 species